AAAGACAGUGUGUGUUCACUAGAUGAGUAAAACAUAACAGAUGCCACGUAGUGUAGGCCUCGAACAUUUCUUCAUUCUUUGAACAUUGCAUGUACUAUACUAUCAUGCUUUGGCCAAAGAAACUGCACCAACCAUCUUUUUGACGAUACACGUUUUUCUAACAUCGAGAUGACAAUUAGGUACGUAGGUUCUCUAAACAAAAUCAUACUACCAUGUUGAAACAACAACAGAACUUGCAGUUGGGAUAGAAAUAUCGUGUAUGACUCCCUGCGUUUUGUACAAAUUCUGUUGCUACCUCACUUGAUAAGAAUGCUCUCAACACAUCACUAGUGCCAAAUACAAAUAAAACAACAAAAAUAUAGAAAAAUAAACAAAAUAUAAGAAAGGGAUUGAUUUAGUUCUGGGGUAAGUAACUCCAGCCGCUGAAACGUCGUUCAUUCCGACCUCAAUUUCUUCUGAAACACCCGACCAUCAAAGCAAUUGGGUGGAGAAACUUACCGAAUUCUAUACAAAUCUCUAAAAGCUUUUGCAUCAUUUUCCUUCCGUGCCAUGCCAGGUUCCACAACCAAGUUCCGCGACGAAGACCCGACACUGAGCUUUACUUGAUCUCGCUCCCACAAAGAGCGCCACAUGCGGUCAAAAUAAGAAAUUUGUUUGAUGCGACGACACACAAACGCCAAAGAACACAAAUCCCUGUAAUCCAGAACUUCUUUCUCUAUUCCUAGACCUAAAAUCUUCGUCCAAAGCUCAUCCGGUAAACACCCCAUACUGAACUUGCAACACCUGGGAAGUUCCGAAGAGCAUUAAAAUCCAGCCACUCCCUCCUUUUAAACAACAAAAACCAUCGUGACUCGGAGUAAAGAAAGCAAAAAUUUCAAAGCUUGAUUUGCAUGUCCCAAACGUAUGACUCAAUGCGGGAAUUAACACCAUGGGAAUUCCCGCCUAAAACUUUUCUAAUGUGUCUGGAAUUCUCAACAGAAACUCUUCAGCUUUCAUCAGUUGUGGACGAAACCUUGAAAAGCUUGCAAUCCGAUUGUUCAGCAUCAAAAUCUGUGCUGACAACCAGAUACAAUAACCUCUUCACACUCACCUUGUCAAACAAUAGUAAUUAUGAACGGCUGCUUAAA
rnacentral:lncRNA from 1 species